rnacentral:lncRNA from 1 species
CUUUAUUAUCGCUAUUUUAGAAAACUUUGAUCUUGCUGACAGAUAUUUUCCUUUAUCAUCAGAGUCGAGUGAUCUGAAAAAUUAUCGCUAGAAACUAAAAGGGUACGUGGCGUUGCUAAUGAAAUUGACAACGUCGUCGUAUGUCAAAUAGUGAUAAACAGAUUAUCAUAUGGCAUCCCAACUCGAUUGCUUUCCUCCCUAUCGUCGUACCGGCUCAAGCCAGAAAAUCAAU